rnacentral:tRNA from 1 species
AGUAAGGUAAGCUAAGCUAAGCUAUUGGGCCCAUACCCCGAAAAUGUCGGUUAAUACCUUCCCUUACUA